rnacentral:rRNA from 1 species
AUUGAACGCUGGCGGCAGGCCUAACACAUGCAAGUCGAACGAGUGGCGGACGGGUGAGUAAUGUCUGGGAAACUGCCUGAUGGAGGGGGAUAACUACUGGAAACGGUAGCUCAUACCGCAUACCAUCGGAGGUGACCAGAAGGGAUUAGCUAGUAGGUGGGGUAAAGGCUCAACUAGGCGACGAUCCCUAGAGUGUCUGAGAGGAUGACCAGCCACACUGGAACGGAGCCACGGUCCAGAUUCCGACGGUAGGCAGCAGUGGGGAUUAUUGCACCAUGUGCGCAAGCCUGAUGCAGCCAUGCCGCGUGUAUGAAGAAGUCCUUCGGGUUGUAAAGUACUUUCAGCGGUGAGGCGUUACCCGCAGAAGAAGCACCGGCUAACUCCGUGCCAGCAGCCGCUGUAAUAC